rnacentral:rRNA from 1 species
CCUACGGGAGGCAGCAGUGAGGAAUAUUGGUCAAUGGACGAGAGUCUGAACCAGCCAAGUAGCGUGAAGGAUGACUGCCCUAUGGGUUGUAAACUUCUUUUAUAUGGGAAUAAAACGUUCCACGUGUGGGAUUUUGUAUGUACCAUAUGAAUAAGGAUCGGGUAACUCCGUGCCAGCAGCCGCGGUAAUACGGAGGAUCCGAGCGUUAUCCGGAUUUAUUGGGUUUAAAGGGAGCGUAGGUGGAUUGUUAAGUCAGUUGUGAAAGUUUGCGGCUCAACCGUAAAAUUGCAGUUGAAACUGGCAGUCUUGAGUACAGUAGAGGUGGGCGGAAUGCGUGGUGUAGCGGUGAAAUGCUUAGAUAUCACGAAGAACUCCGAUUGCGAAGGCAGUUCACUGGACUGCAACUGACACUGAGGCUCGAAAGUGUGGGUAUCAAACAGGAUUAGAUACCCGGGUAGUC